rnacentral:rRNA from 1 species
GAAUGGGCGCAGCUGAUCCAGCCAUUCCGCGUGCAGGACGAAGGCCCUCGGGUUGUAAACUGCUUUUGUACGGAACGAAAAGCCUUGGGCUAAUACCCCGAGGUCAUGACGGUACCGUAAGAAUAAGCACCGGCUAACUACGUGCCAGCAGCCGCGGUAAUACGUAGGGUGCAAGCGUUAAUCGGAAUUACUGGGCGUAAAGCGUGCGCAGGCGGUCUUGUAAGACAGAGGUGAAAUCCCCGGGCUUAACCUGGGAACUGCGUUUGUAACUGGCAGGCUGGAGUGUGGCAGAGGGGGGUGGAAUUCCAAGUGUAGCAGUGAAAUGCGUAGAUAUUUGGAGGAACACCGAUGGCGAAGGCAGCCCCCUGGGCUAACACUGACGCUCAUGCACGAAAGCGUGGGGAGCAAACAGGAUUAGAUACCCUGGUAGUCCACGCCCUAAACUAUGUCAACUGGUUGUCGGGGGAGCAAUCCCUUGGUAACGAAGCUAACGCGUGAAGUUGACCGCCUGGGGAGUACGGCCGCAAGGUUAAAACUCAAAGGAAUUGACGGGGACCCGCACAAGCGGUGGAUUAUGUGGAUUAAUUCGAUGCAACGCGAAAAAUCUUACCUACCCUUGACAUGUACGGAACCUCGCAGA